GGGACGUUAGCUCAGAUGGUAGGGCAGCGGAUUCUUAAUCCGUAGGUCCAGCGUUCGAUUCGCUACGACCCACCA
rnacentral:tRNA from 1 species